rnacentral:lncRNA from 1 species
CGCUGGUUCCCGGCAGAGAGUGGUGGUGGCUUUACCCGCGACUGCCCUGGAGUCCUUGGCUGUAUCUCUGCUGCGGAGCCGAAGUUUGGUGGGCUCUCUUCCUAUCGGGGGCUGGAGCCGCAAGGAUCCAGGUUCUCUCUGAGGGGGCUCACGUGUCUACCUACUUUCAAGCUGUCCAACACUGAUGGCGUGUACUUAAGGGGCCGACGGCCUGGAAGACAUAAGUCGCCUGGACCACGCGGUGGACACCGGUUGGGGGCUGGAGACUGCCGACCCGGGCUGUGCGAAUGACAGCUGAGCUGGGACCUGGAGAAUGCAUCUGAAUUACCCAAAAGGAGAGUAGAGUGUUGCAUGCAGAGAACAGCGUAGGCAAAAUGGCCCGGCGAUAAUAAAGUUAGGUUCGGAGAACUGAAGUUAGUUAUGGCCAGAGCAGAGAUUGUGGGUGGGGAUAGGCGACAGACCAGGCUGGAGAAGGACACGGCGACUGCCUCACUCAGAUCCUAAUAACGUUAGACUGGUUUGAGUGCCACGCCAAGGUGGCACCAGGGAGUGUCAGAAAAUGCUUUGUAUAUCCAUGAGGUAAUGUCUACCACCAGAGGCCUGAGUUCCAUGACUAAAAUACACAUGGUG